AGAAAUGGUUUCCCGGUCACAAAUGUGCCAGCACGGUACAGUUACAUGCCAUCGAGGAGGUAUGGGAUCUACUGGCAGUACCAGAAAGUGUCGAAGGCGCACCUGUCAGCAGAGCAGAUCACAUGGACCAUGCAGAGGAGCGGACUCAAGCAGUGCAACAGAAGGCACAGACAGAGGGAGUCAAGGAAGACAAUCAGAGCCCGCGCAGCCGUCGUGUACCAAAGCCAAAUACCAAGUACAUCGGUGCAGAGUGGCGCGUAUAGGUAUACGGAGUUAUACGUAUUGAUGAGGGCAGGUGUGCCGGUAUAAAUAAUAUUGUAAUCGUUUCUAAACUCAGUCUGGAACAUGUUAUUGUCGAGUCGGCAAGAAAGGAAUAGAUACCAGAGAAAUUCCUGGCGUGAACCACGGGUGUUGUUCACAUUUGGUACCAGAGCCAAUACUGGAUCCUCCACACGGGUACUGGACGAGAUCGCAAUCGAAGUUGGGCGGCAUGGCGCCAGCGAAGACGGACGAUCCUUUGUCCCAGCUUCUGGCGAAGAUCGAGGAGGGAAACAAGGAGACUCACCGACGCAUGGAGGCGAUUCAGGGGGCGGUGGGAAAUAUGGAGGCGGCGGUCAAGGUGGUGAUGACGGAGCAGGGAGAUCUUCAGAAGUGGAAACCGGAGGUGGAAGCGAAAGUGACGGAGAUUUCUGAUGCUCUAAAGGCGAUCCAGAUCCAGAUGGGAAAGAUGGAGAAGAAGCCGCUCGGUUUCGGGUCGAGACAGGAAGAAGAAGGAGAAGACGGAUUUCUGAAGCCGCCACCAUCUGAUUCUUCGAAUUUGGAGUUUCGUCGUGAAGAAGGGCGGACCCAAUUCUCGCAUGGAGGUAUGAACUCGCCCUGGAACUCCAACUCUUUCAGAUUCGAGGCUGCUGGAAACCAUUCCUUUGGCGACUGGUCACAUGGGUCCGGAUCGGGUAUACCUAGUAUGAGUUUCCCUGUUUUUGAUGGAUCCAACCCUAAGCUGUGGAGAACGCGGUGUGAAACCUACUUUGAUUUCUAUUCUGUUGCUCGUCCCAUGUGGAUUCGGUUGGCCAUCAUGCAUUUUGAGGGUGCGGGUUUAUUCUGGUUACAAUCUGUAGAACAUCGGCUUAGAUACAUGAAGUGGGAUGAAUUCUGUUCUGGAUUGUAUAACAGAUUUGGAAGGGAUCAACAUGGUACCUUGAUUCGACACUUCUAUCACAUAUACCAGCAGAACUCAGUGGUGGAAUAUGUGGAACAGUUUGACAUGCUGUUACAUCAACUACUAGCCCAUGAAAGCCAGUUGACGCCAAUGAUGAUCACUUCCAGAUUUGUGGAUGGUUUAAAGGAUGGUAUACGGGCUGUGGUGGCCAUUCAACGCCCAGCCGAUCUGGACACAGCCUGUUCGCUAGCUCUAUUACAGGAGGAUAUGUUGACACAACCCAAUCGGAAGGAAGGCAGGAGAGUGGAAUUGGGUGGUUAUACUAGACCCUCCAAUCCCUCCAUGAAGACUGCGACCAUGGCUGGACAUCAAGUAUCAGUUACCACAAGUCGGAUCCAUCCCUUGUCAGAAGAUCGUCGUAGGCCGUCUGGGAGCGAUGGAAGGACGGAGGAUCAGAAACUUGCUGCCUUGAAGUCCUACAGAAGAGCCAAGGGCUUAUGUUUUAAAUGUGGUGAAAAGUGGAAUUAUAAUCACCAUUGCUCUAACAGUGUUCCUCUUCAUGUGGUGGAGGAGAUGUGGGCUGUGACUGACCAGGGAAAGGAGGAAGGGGACACUGAUCCAAAGGAUGAGCAUUAUGAAACUGAGAACGAGGAGGCAGUGUUGGCGUUGUCUACGGCGGCAGUAAAUGGUAGUGAAAACAACAGGACUAUUCGGUUAUGGGCCUCGAUUCACUGUCAACAGGUGCUCGUAUUGGUGGAUUCUGGUAGCUCGGCUAGUUUUAUGGGUACCCAUCUGAUGGAAGUAGUGAAAGGGGUGCAGAAUUUGGUCAGACCUGUUAAAGUCAAAGUUGCUGACGGGUACUAUUUGUGGUGUGAAAAAUGGGUACCAAGCUGUCAAUGGCUAUGUGAGGGAAUAACUUUUUAUACUGAUUUCAAGUUCUUGCCAUUGGACGGUUAUGAUCUUAUACUAGGGAUGGACUGGUUGGAGGAUCUUAGUCCUAUGUCUAUAGACUGGGCUACAAAAUGGAUGGAGUUCGUGUACAAGGGUAAGAAAGUGCAGUUACAAGGCGUAACUCCUAAAUUAAAAGCUUGUACUCCCAUGUCUAGUGUGCAAUUGAAGGGUUUGCUCAGGAAGGAAGCGGUGGAACAAGUAAUCGAGUUGAGGAUCACCAUGGAGACUGAGACAAACACUGUUCCCGAUCAGAUUGUUGAGUUGGUGAACAAAUACCAGGAAUUGUUUGCAGCCCCAAAAGGCCUGCCUCCAAAGAGGUUGUUUGAUCAUGACAUUCCUUUGUUGCCUGGUGUAAAUCCUUUCCGACUCAGGCCUUAUCGAUACACUCCUCAACAAAAAAAUGAGAUUGAGAAACAGAUUAAGGAAAUGUUGGAAGGUGGAAUUAUCCAGCAGAGUUCCAGUCCCUUCGCUUCACCGGUGCUGUUAGUAAAGAAGAAGGAUGGAGAGUGGAGGUUAUGCGUGGACUACAGGAAACUCAAUGCUUAUACGGUGAAGAAUAGGUUUCCCAUGCCAGUUUUUGAUGAGAUUGCAGAUGAGCUGAGUGGAGCCACCGUAUUCACAAAGUUGGACCAUAGAGCUGGUUACCAUCAAAUCAGGAUUAAAGAGGGAGAGGAGUAUAAAACGGCCUUCCAUACGCAUAAUGGACACUAUGAAUAUAAGGUCAUGCCGUUCGGUCUGACAGGAGCACCGGCUACCUUUCAAGAUUUUAUGAAUCACAUCUUAGCUCCCCUUUUGAGAAAGUGUGUUGUGGUAUUCUUGGAUGAUAUUUUGGUUUAUAGUACUACUUUAGAAGAUCACGUUGGACAUUUGGAACAGGUUUUUGGUAUUCUGACCCAAAAUCAGUUGAAACUAAAACAAUCCAAGUGUAAGUUUGCCCAAGACAAAUUGGAAUUUUUGGGCCAUGUAAUCAGUGCUGCUGGUAUUUCGACUGAACCAGCCAAGGUGGAAGUGAUAAAAAAUUGGCCAAUUCCGAAAUCUGUCAAGGAGGUGAGAAGUUUUUUGGGUAUGGCGGGGUAUUACCGACGUUUUGUGGCAGGGUUUGGCAUCAUAAGUAAACCUCUGACCAACCUGCUGAAGAAAGAUCAAAUGUUUGUUUGGACUGACACCACACAAAAAUCUUUUGAGGCGUUGAAAGAUGCUCUAGUCAAGGCACCAGUUCUGGUAAUUCCAGAUUUUGCUAAAACCUUUGUGAUUGAAACUGAUGCUAGUGGGGUAGGCAUUGGAGCUAUAUUACAGCAAGAUGGACAUCCUAUCGCCUAUAUUAGUAAAGCUCUGGGUCCCAGGAAUGCUGCUUUGUCAACAUAUGAGAAGGAGUGCUUGGCGAUACUUUUUGCAGUUGAUCAUUGGAGACCUUAUUUGCAACAUGCUCAGUUUCUCAUUAAAACCGACCAGCAAAGUUUGACUCACCUGGAUGAUCAAAGGGUCACAACACCUUGGCAACAAAAGGCUUUGACUAAAUUAAUGGGCCUUAAUUUUCAAAUUAUCUACAAGAAGGGGGUAGAGAACAAGGUAGCUGAUGCCUUAUCCAGAAGGGCAGAUUUACAAUCCGAUGACACUACCCUGCAGCUGCAUGUCCUGAGUAGUUCCUCUAUGAUCCCUAGCUGGCUGACUGAGGUCACGAAAGGAUAUGAAAAUGAUGAAGUUGCUCAGAAAAUUCUUAGUGCUUUAUCUACAGGACAUCCGUUGGAGCAUUAUACGUUGGUGGCCGGGGUGAUCAAGCAUAAAGGCAGGGUGUGGCUGGGUCACAAUCAAGAUUUGCAGACGAAGGUUAUGUCUUCACUGCAUGACAGUGCCAUAGGGGGACACUCAGGUUUUCCGGUAACAUACAGAAGAAUUAAAGCAAUAUUUAGUUGGCCUGGAAUGAAAAAUCAGAUUCGUGAGUUUGUUGGCACUUGCUCAAUCUGUCAGCAGGCCAAGCCGGAUAGGAGCAAAUAUCCUGGACUUCUGUUACCCCUACCCAUCCCAGAUCAUGCUUGGCAAGUCGUGACGAUGGACUUUAUUUCUGGGCUGCCUGUGUCCCACAAGUACAAUUGUAUCAUGGUUGUGGUGGAUAAGUUUUCGAAGUAUGCACAUUUCCUAGCACUAGCCCAUCCGUUCACAGCUUUAACCGUAGCUAAGCUUUAUCUGUCAGACAUAUAUAAGUUGCAUGGACUGCCAUCGUCGAUUGUGUCUGAUCGGGAUCCCAUAUUCACUAGCAAGUUAUGGCAAGAACUGUUCAGAUUGGCUGGGACAAAGCUGUGCAUGAGUAGUGCCUAUCAUCCACAGUCUGAUGGUCAGACAGAAAGGGUUAAUCAGUGUUUGGAAGCUUAUCUGAGAUGCUUCGUUCAUUCUUGCCCCAAACAGUGGUAUUCUUGGCUCUCGCUGGCUGAAUUUUGGUAUAACACUUGCUAUCAUACCGCUCUGGGUAAAUCUCCUUUCGAAGUGUUAUACGGUCAUGCUCCUUCUCAGCUUGGAUUAGACACCGUGGAUCAGUGUUCGGUUCCUGAUUUACAAACUUGGUUGCUUGGUCACCAACAGAUGCUACAGCAAGUAAAGUUCCAUCUUCAGCGUGCUCAGGACAGAAUGAAGAAACAGGCUGAUAAGGGUCGAGUGGAACGUACUUAUACUGUGGGCGAUCAAGUUUUUCUGAAACUUCAGCCCUUCUGUCAACGAUUAGUGGCUGACAGACCAGUUUCUAAACUGGCAUUUCGGUUUUUUGGUCCCUUUGAGGUGAUUAAGCAGAUCAAUCCUGUGGCCUAUGAACUAGCGUUACCAUCUGGGAGUGCUAUCCACCCGGUCUUUCAUGUAUCGCAGUUAAAAUCGGCCAACGGCGUGCGGGUUCCUAGCACUGACUCUCUUCCAGAUAUCUUUACUGGGUUGCAGGUGCCGGAGGAAGUUCUGGAGUCCAGGCUUCUUCGUAAAGGGGGUAAGGUGAUUUCGCAGUUGCUCAUUAAGUGGUCCAAUUGGCCGGUGUCACUGUCAACCUGGGAGGAUGAAGAGGCCAUUAAGCAGAAAUUUCCACAAGCACCAGCUUGGGGUCAAGCUGUCGUUAAAGAAGGGGGAAAUGUCAGCAGAGCAGAUCACAUGGACCAUGCAGAGGAGCGGACUCAAGCAGUGCAACAGAAGGCACAGACAGAGGGAGUCAAGGAAGACAAUCAGAGCCCGCGCAGCCGUCGUGUACCAAAGCCAAAUACCAAGUACAUCGGUGCAGAGUGGCGCGUAUAGGUAUACGGAGUUAUACGUAUUGAUGAGGGCAGGUGUGCCGGUAUAAAUAAUAUUGUAAUCGUUUCUAAACUCAGUCUGGAACAUGUUAUUGCCGAGUCGGCAAGAAAGGAAUAGAUACCAGAGAAAUUCCUGGCGUGAACCACGGGUGUUGUUCACAGCACCUGACCAGCCGGAACAAAUCAUGAUGGCACUAUCUCUAUCACCAGCAGCAUGGGAAGGAAUAGACAAAGGAACCACUAUGCGAUUUGCUGGUCGCAUGCAGCAACACGACAUCCUCAUAUUAGUUGACUCAGGGUCUUCUCACACUUUUGUCAGUGACCGCUUACGGCCACAGUUGUCUGGUGUUCAAGAGUUGCCUAGAACCAUAUCUGUGCAAGUAGCCAACAGUCAAGUGCUUCCAUGCCGUUAUCAUCUCCCAGCAGCUGAGUGGAGUAUGUCUGAUUGCCAAUUUGUCACUAACAUGAAAUUUUUUCCUCUUACGGUGUUUUAUGUAGUAUUGGGCAUGAACUGGAUCCAGCAAUACAGUCCGAUGAAGGUGGAUUGGGCGAACAAGUGGGCAGUCAUUCCAUAUAAUGGAUCGCCAGCAUACUUGCAAGGUGUGCAGGUGACAUUACCAGCCGGCGCUGUCACCGAACUUUUGCUCUUGUCAGUGGAAUCACAGGCUACACCCGCUGGACAAUCGGUCGAUCCAAAAGUCCAAGCAGUUCUGGAUCAGUUCGUGGAGGUAUUUGAGGAUCCAGUCGGCUUACCACCAAGCAGAACAUGCGACCACACUAUACCAUUGGUUCCAGGGACAAAUGUGUGUGUACUACCACUGUCCAGUAAGGCCGAGUAGUCAGAAUAUCUUGAUGCUGAAUUUGAUCUUGUAAAUGCCAUGUGGUAGCUGUCGCAGUGCCAGACCAUGCUGAAGAUGACAACACCAUCAGGGGCUGCUCUAUAGGUUCGGGCACAACUUCAGACUCGUCAUCUGUUCCCUGACUGAACAUCUCACGGAAAAGCUCUUCCGGAUUGUGAGUACUAGAGCAGAUGAAAAUGAAGUGAGCAGAGUGGAAUAUGUAAUAAAAAAUAGAUUGCAGCCACAACCAGUUUGCCCUCGGUUGCUUGAUGCAUAUGUGUGACCAGACCAAUCUGAUAUCCAAAAACUUCUUGCCAUAAUAAAUGAGGCUAUCCUAGAAAAAAGACAACAAACCUUUAUCC